rnacentral:rRNA from 1 species
GACGAACCGUGCAACCGUUAUUCGGAAUCACUGGGCUUAAAGCGUGCGUAGGCGGCUGAGAAAGUUGGGUGUGAAAUCCCUCGGCUCAACCGAGGAAUUGCGCUCAAAACUACUUGGCUUGAGGGAGUUAGAGGUGAGCGGAACUAAUGGUGGAGCGGUGAAAUGCGUUGAUAUCAUUAGGAACACCGGUGGCGAAAGCGGCUCACUGGGACUCUUCUGACGCUGAGGCACGAAAGCUAGGGGAGCGAACGGG